rnacentral:rRNA from 1 species
AGGACGAACGCUGGCGGCGUGCUUAACACAUGCAAGUCGAGCGGUGAUCCUCCUUCGGGAGGUGAUCAGCGGCGAACGGGUGAGUAACACGUGGGCAACCUGCCCCUCACACUGGGAUAACCUCGGGAAACCGGGCUAAUACCGGAUACGACCUCGAGCGGCAUCUCUUGAGGUGGAAAGCUCCGACGGUGAGGGAUGGGCCCGCGGCCUAUCAGCUUGUUGGUGGGUAAUGGCCUACCAAGGUGACGACGGGUA